CGGCUUUGCACCAAAAUCUUGUUUCAAAAAUCCUUUUGAUUUAAAGAAAAAUCACAUGCUAAUUUAUUCGUUUAACAUAUAGAAUGAGUGCGAAAAUGGAAAAAAAAUUAAAUUGUGUAAAAACAGAAGUGGAACUUUGUUUGAAACAAUAUUUUAACAUUUCACGCAGCUAAAUUUCAUACGGUUAAACUAAAAAAGAAUAUUGUUGAUUCCAACAAUCGAUCUAUUAUUGAACCAAAAAUAUUUGAUUGUUGAUUUAACAAUAUUGUAUGUUGAAACAACAGUAUUAUUUUUAUUUCAACAGUAUUUAUUUUUGAACCGAGUUUGCGUUUUUGGGAAUAGGCGUGUAUUUUUGAAUGUCAACAACAUUCUUUAUUCGUUUGUUCUAAUAUAAAUUAAAGCCGCUGGUCUUAAGCUAAAUAAUUGAUUUCUAAAUAAAGCUCUAUAGUUUUCCUAAAUUAAAUAAAAGAGAGAUUUAUUGAAAACUCGCUGUGAGGAGAAAUCAGCAACGUUGUGGUGCAUACAUAUGCGUAGAAUGAAACCAUAAAAAGGACUACCGUAUCCGUCUCCAUAUGUAUUCCCGGCCAAACAGAUCUUGGAAAGACCAGGAUUUUCUGUACACAUCUGCAGUCUAUUAUGCACCAUCAGAAACAACAGCAGAUUGACCAACAUAAAUAAUAAUAUACAUAUAUUCAAAUAAAAUGAAAACAAUAAACAUUUCCC